GACAGAGGGGGCAAGCGUUGCUCGGAAUUACUGGGCGUAAAGGGCGCGUAGGCGGGAUGGCAAGUCGGUCGUGAAAUCCUUCGGCUCAACCGAAGAACGUCGAUCGAUACUGCUGUUCUUGAGGGUUGCAGAGGAGAGUGGAAUUCCUGGUGUAGCGGUGAAAUGCGCAGAUAUCAGGAAGAACAGCCGUGGCUAAGGCGGCUCUCUAGUACGGUACUGACGCUGAGACGCGUAAGCGUGGGGAGCGAACAGG
rnacentral:rRNA from 1 species